CAAGUGGUAUCGACACCGAAAGGUGAAGGCAAUCUCUAAACCCAUCCGUAGUUCGGAUUGUGGGCUGCAACUCGCCCACAUGAAGCUGGAAUCUGUAGUAAUCGUGUCUCAAAAUGGCACGGUGAAUAUGUCCCUGCUCCUU
rnacentral:rRNA from 1 species